rnacentral:rRNA from 1 species
CCUACGGGAGGCAGCAGUGAGGAAUAUUGGUCAAUGGGCGCGAGCCUGAACCAGCCAAGUAGCGUGAAGGAUGACUGCCCUACGGGUUGUAAACUUCUUUUAUAAAGGAAUAAAGUGAGGCACGUGUGCCUUUUUGUAUGUACUUUAUGAAUACGGAUCGGCUAACUCCGUGCCAGCAGCCGCGGUAAUACUGAGGAUCCGAGCGUUAUCCGGAUUUAUUGGGUUUAAAGUGAGCGUAGAUGGGUUGUUAAGUCAGUUGUGAAAGGUUGCGGCUCAACCGUAAAAUUGCAAUUGAUACUGGCAGCCGUGAGGACAGGUGAGGUAGGCGGAAUUCGUGGGCUAGCGGUGAAAUGCGUAGAUAUAACGAAGAACUCCGAUUGCGAAGGCAGCUUACUAAACUGCCACUGACAUUGAGGCUCGAAAGUGUGGGUAUCAAACAGGAUUAGAUACCCCUGUAGUC